UCCAGUCAGAUUGAAGCAAGACGCCACAGCCGGAUUUCUGUACAUCCAUUUGCACAGUACUGUACAACAAGUUUCCUUUGCUGAGUUCCUUGGUCAGGCGUUUAAACACAUUUUCUGUCCAGUACUGCAGUUGGAAUUUUCCAUCAACAUUUUUAUGUUUUCACAGUACUAGGGUGCAGUAAGAGCACAAACACAGAGUUCAACUUUGAUUCAACUCCGUGAUUCUCUCAAGAGAGGCGACCAAAAUGUCUGACCUGCCAUAAAAUGAUUCGACUAUCUGCCGACCAAGAGAGGUUAUUCACCUUUUUUUUCCUCCUGUACAUUGCAUCAACACAGCACAGCAAAUAUCAAAGUUGAAAUUUAAUUUGAUUCAAAGAAGUGUCGCAUCAGAAUUUGGCUCAAAAUUGCACAAUAGAAAUUCGGCCUUAAGCCUGGUUUUUACUUCUGCGUUGAGUGAUUGGCGUGACCUACUGCGCCUGCCCUGCGUGCAGCUGAGCACUUAUACUUGUGCGCGCUGUUUGUGUUGUUCUACAAUAACACUUACAAAAGCAGUAGGUUUAUAUGUUCCCUCUGUAUGGACUUUCUUCGCUUGGGUUUUGUUUUUUCUGAACACUACCUUAAUGAACAAGCGGAUAAAACUCGCUCAUUCUGAGGCGGUAGCUGGCGGUCAUGCAACAACUUUAAUCAUAAGGUAAACACAAAGCAACAGUUUCCACCUGGAGCUAUUUCAUGGGACUCUACACUUGUAAACACUAGCUCCAAUGGGUUGGCGUGGCUCUCAACCCCGCCCACACACGUAAGCGCUACCAAGCCCACUAAUAGAACGUGCGCUACGUGUUGUUGCGAUGUGUAGUUACAUUUUUGGAGAGAUGCGCCACGGCAAGGGCUAUUCAACUGCGCGCAGGCUGCGUCGGACCAUACACGUGCAUUUGACGCAGAAGUAUAAAUCAGCCUUUACAU